CGGCGGGCUGAGGCACGGAGAAGGCGCACCUGUCCUCCACGGGGAAGUCGGUGACGAGCACUCCGCUGGGGCUCUGGAAUAAAGGACCUGGUAAUGCCCAUGGAGCAUCAAAGUUGAAACAAGAUGCUGUUUUACUGGGAUGAAAAGAAAAAGAGUAAGAAAGAAUGUGUACCCAAGAAAAGCAACUGAGGACUGAGGUGAUUUCCCAGCAGUUUCCUGAUCCAGUCUCUUCCUUUACUCAGAGGUGGGUGCAGAGAUUGUCUCCUCAGUGAGAGAAGGAGGGUACCUGGCACCUCCAUCAUUUAUAGAGU